rnacentral:rRNA from 1 species
UACAGAGGUGGCAAGCGUUGUUCGGAAUUACUGGGCGUAAAGGGCGCGUAGGCGGCCUUCUAAGUCAGACGUGAAAUCCCCAGGCUUAACUUGGGAACUGCGUCUGAUACUGGGAGGCUUGAGUGCGGGAGAGGGAUGUGGAAUUCCAGGUGUAGCGGUGAAAUGCGUAGAUAUCUGGAGGAACACCGGUGGCGAAGGCGGCAGUCCUGGACCGACACUGACGCUGAGGCGCGAAAGCUAGGGGAGCAACGGG